UUCACCCUUCAUUAUUCUUUGGGCUGCUGAAUACACAUAAACCCCUUGUCCUUUGUGAUGAAGGAAAAAUGACAAUUCGACUAGCAGCUCCCAAAAAUACAUUCACACGGCUUUAUAUAUAUAUUGAACAGUCAGUUUCAUCACAAGAAUUGUUAUCAAGAGGCAGCAACAUGACGUAAAAUUAUUUUCCUCAAGAGAAAUAUUCGAGUUUCACUCACUGCUUUUGAUCUCGUUAUUCCAUUUUGUGGUGUUAUUGAAUCCGGGUUUUCUUCGUAGUGAAGUAAGGUGGAAACAGAUUAUUUCUUGGGAUAUAAGGUUUAUCAUAUUAAUUGUGGAAGUUCUUGGAUGGACUGAGCUCUUGAACGACGUGAGGUACAGAUGCUCACGUUGGUAACCCGCCAGCUUAGGAGUCCUAUUCAGCUAUCUUGGAGAGCUCCCUUGUUCCGGAGCCUAGAUUUUGGUACAGAAUCUCUUGUUGUGUAUAUGUAUUUUAUCCAGGGGUACGGCGGGGCCCUGCCCCGUCAUAUGAUACUGUUGUUACUCUUAGAGGCCUGUAGACAUAUGUGUGGGUUGUGUAUCGAUGUUGUUCAGUUGUGUCUAUAUGGCUUAUGUUUUGGGACGUUCCCAUUCGUAAUGGCAGCCUUGUCGGCUUGCGUAGAUAUAUAUAUAUAUAUAUAUAUGUUUUGAGAAGUAAUGUGUUAUGAUAGCCUUGUCGGCUCGUUUGUGGCGGGGAUGUUCCCUUAUAUAUUAUGAAAGCCUUGUCGGCUUAUGUACUAUAAUGUCUGUUGAAAGUUGUACCUCCCCAGGAGACAGGUUGU